CGUCACCAGCGCGCAGAUGCUGCGGGCGGAGGGGCUCAAGGGUCGUCCCGACGCCGGCCAGCGGCCGCAGGACUUAGACUAACAAAGAGCUAAUCGCGCACCAGAGCCCGGCCCAGUGGAAACAACGCCUCCCCGCCGCCCCCGCCCCGCGACCCUCCCCAAGUUCAGGGCCGGCGGCCGACUCGCGGCGGGGCCUGCGGCCAGGCCGGGGCCGGAUUCGCGGUAGGGAUGCGGGAAACAGAAUAAAAAUAUCUUGGAACAGCCCACCUCAUCCCAUCAAGGAAAUUUCCUUGCUCAAGAAAAAGAAGGGGCCAGCCCAGUGGCUUAGCGGUUGGGUGCGCUCCGCUGCUGGCGGCCCGGGUUCGGAUCCCGGGCGCGCACCGACACACCGCUUCUCCGGUGAUGCUGAGGCCGCGUCCCAGAUACAGCAACUAGAAGGAUGUGCAGCUAUGACAUACAACUAUCUACUGGGGCUUUGGGGGAAAAAAAUAAAUAAAUAAAAUUUUUUUAAAAAUUUAAAAAAAAAAAGAAAAAGCACGUAAAACAAAGCAUGUAAAUUUUGCAAAUUAUGUCUAUGCAGGUUUCUCAAGACUAAUCUACAGUUUGAUUUGCUCCUCACUCAUAUUUGAAAUGAGAUGAUUUUAAAAAUAUAAUUCCAUUUUUCAAACAACUAAACAAAUAUGGUUCAUUUUGUGCAUUAGAUGUACCAAAAUGUAUAUAAUUUUACAAAUCAAUUGUAUUAAAGGUGAGAUAGGCACAUUUAAUGAAAGAUUUCCUAUUGUGAGUAUUUUUCAAAAGUGAAAAUUCUUUUCACAAAGUGAGUAGUGACUCUCCAAUUUGUCUUUAAGAACACCAUUAUAUGAAAAUCAGAAUUUUCACUGAAUUGAGAAUUAGGCAAACAAAAAUAGUUUUCUUUAAAGGUGGUAUCAUAAGCAUCUGAUGUUGAAAACUUUGUGAUAAAGUUACUAUUAUUACUAAUUAUAAAUAAAUAACCAGCAUUGUGUAGCACUAUACUAUGUACAAAGCAGUUUCACAUACAUUGCCUCAUUUGAUUCUCACAGAAACCUUAUGAGGCAGACAGGGCAGGUCCUUACUGUCUCCAUUUGGCAGAUGAAGUUCAGAAAGACUAAUCGUUUGUCUCAAAAUUCCCACCUUCUUUUCACUGUACUAAUGAGGACAUAUGAACUAUCAAUCGUGACUGGAAACGGAACUUUUAAUUUUUCUGCCCUAUUUGGAUGGAACUACUUUCCUAGGAAUAUAAUUUUUAAGGCAACAUAUAAUUUGUACAAACUAAAACUACUGUUUUAUACAUCUGAAAAUAUAUCUAUAUAUCAACACCUGUUCAGAGAAGGCCUUCAGUAAAUAUUUGCCAAUAAAUCAAUGAAUACAUGAGUGGUCCUGAAAACAGAUAGAGCAGACUAUAUCAAUCAAAGUUCAGUUGCAGAGAACAGAAUCCACUCCAGUUAGUUUAAGCUGGAAGAAUUAAAAUACUUAAAGAAUAAUUGAAAGUAUUAAUGGAGUGGUUCUCGAAACCAUACGUCAGAACUAGGAUACGAAAAGAGCUGUGCUUUUCCUUGUUGAGAAACUGACAGCUUCAGAACUACACCCCCACAGCCACUGUCUGGAGGCCACCAGGAUCAGGAAGCUGCCACUUGCACAGCCAGCUCCAGAAUCACACCAUACCAUCUGCAAUCUGAACCAGCAAAAUGGAUACAUUGCCCCACGCUGCCUGAUGUUCCUGAAGCUAACGACUGAACAAUGGGACUUCUUGUAUCUCUGCUACAGAAGAAAAAAAAUGCCUCCACAACUGUGCCUGUCAGAGAAACAGACUUCCAGAUCUUGUGUGGAAGCAUCUGGUUGUUGAAAUCUAAGUACUUCCAUAAUAAUAGCUGCAAGAGAGUCUGAAGGAUGUGAUUUUUUGCUUACCAGUCUCUGCAGUACAUGAAGCAUACUUGAAGCUUGAAGGAAGAUAAAAUGGCUGUUAGGUGCAAUCCUCCUUAUCCUCCACACUCACCUAAAGAAAUAUGCUAGAGAACCUCCAUGAUGACAGAAAAGCUAUAGCUCAGUUAUAGCUCAGUUCUCAAACCUCAGAUCCCAGGCAGUGCCACAUUAGUACAACUUCUUCCAAGGGAAACAAACAUUUUAAUGAUUUGCUAUUUUGUUAAUGCCCAAUAAGUGCAACCUCCCAUCUAGUAAUAUUACCCCGUAUUUCUAGAUUGGUGCUCUCAAAUUUUAAUGUGUACAUAAAUCACCUAGGAAUCUUAGGAAAAUGCAGAUUCUGAUUUGGUAAAUUGGGAUAGAGACUGCGAUUCUAAACUUCUAACAAGCUCCCAGGUGAUGCUUAUGCUGCUGAUGUGAA